rnacentral:rRNA from 1 species
GCUGGCAGCUAGCUCUCUGCAACUCUCACAUGGUCGCCCACUGAAGCUAAGCAAGGUUGUGCCUGGUUUGUACCUGGAUGGGAGACCACAUGGGAAAGCUAGGUUGCUGCCAGAA